rnacentral:rRNA from 1 species
CCCUAGUAUGAGAUAUUAAUUUUUAAUUAGUAAAUGGAUAAAAAUUAAAAAUUUUGGCGGUUAUUUUGAGGUUAGAGAAGCUUGUCAGUAAUAAGUAAAUACUCUUUAAAUUUUAAUUAAAUAAAAAAGUUCAUUCAUCUCCAUUAUGAAAGUAAAUUAAUUUAAUUAAUUGAGGUAGGUCAAGAUGUGAUUAAUUUUAAUUUAGGAUUAGCUGUAAUAUAUAAAUAUAGAUAUUUGAUUAAGAAAUUAAAAGGAAAAUUAAUUUAAUUGUAAUAGUAAUUAGAAAGUUAUUAUGAAAUAUAAAAAUAGCGUA